rnacentral:rRNA from 1 species
GAUGAACGCUGGCGGCGUGCCUAAUACAUGCAAGUCGAGCGAACAGAUAAGGAGCUUGCUCCUUUGACGUUAGCGGCGGACGGGUGAGUAACACGUGGAUAACCUACCUAUAAGACUGGGAUAACUUCGGGAAACCGGAGCUAAUACCGGAUAACAUAUUGAACCGCAUGGUUCAAUAGUGAAAGGCGGCUUUGCUGUCACUUAUAGAUGGAUCCGCGCCGUAUUAGCUAGUUGGUAAGGUAACGGCUUACCAAGGCAACGAUACGUAGCCGACCUGAGAGAGUGACCGCCGACACUAGAACAGAAACACGAUCAAGAAUCCUACGACAGGCAGCAGUGGGAUAACUACAGCACGGGGCGAAACCCUGGCGAAGCAACGCCACGUGGGCAAUGAAGAUCUUCGAAUCGUAAAACUCUGUUAUCCGGGAAGAACAAAUGUGUAAGUAAAUAUGCACAUCUUGACGGUACCUGAUCAGAAAGGCACGGCUAACUACGUG